rnacentral:rRNA from 1 species
GUUUGAUCCUGGCUCAGAUUGAACGCUGGCGGCAUGCCUUACACAUGCAAGUCGAACGGCAGCACGGGUGCUUGCACCUGGUGGCGAGUGGCGAACGGGUGAGUAAUACAUCGGAACGUACCUUAUCGUGGGGGAUAACGCAGCGAAAGCUGUGCUAAUACCGCAUACGCCCUGAGGGGGAAAGCGGGGGAUCGAAAGACCUCGCGCGAUUAGAGCGGCCGAUGCCUGAUUAGCUUGUUGGUGGGGUAAAAGCCCACCAAGGCGACGAUCAGUAGCUGGUCUGAGAGGACGAUCAGCCACACUGGGACUGAGACACGGCCCAGACUCCUACGGGAGGCAGCAGUGGGGAAUUUUGGACAAUGGGGGCAACCCUGAUCCAGCAAUGCCGCGUGAGUGAAGAAGGCCUUCGGGUUGUAAAGCUCUUUUGUCAGGGAAGAAACACCGGCUCUAACACAGUCCGGGAAUGACGGUACCUGAAGAAUAAGCACCGGCUAACUACGUGCCAGCAGCCGCGGUAAUACGUAGGGUGCGAGCGUUAAUCGGAAUUACUGGGCGUAAAGCGUGCGCAGGCGGUUAUACAAGACAGGCGUGAAAUCCCCGGGCUUAACCUGGGAAUGGCGCCUGUGACUGUAUAGCUAGAGUGUGUCAGAGGGGGGUAGAAUUCCACGUGUAGCAGUGAAAUGCGUAGAUAUGUGGAGGAAUACCAAUGGCGAAGGCAGCCCCCUGGGAUAACACUGACGCUCAUGCACGAAAGCGUGGGGAGCAAACAGGAUUAGAUACCCUGGUAGUCCACGCCCUAAACGAUGCUGACUAGUUGUUCGGGAUUUACAUCCUGAGUAACGUAGCUAACGCGUGAAGUCAGCCGCCUGGGGAGUACGGUCGCAAGAUUAAAACUCAAGGAAUUGACGGGGACCCGCAC